rnacentral:rRNA from 1 species
GAUGAACGCUGGCGGCGUGCCUAAUACAUGCAAGUCGAGCGAACGGACGAGAAGCUUGCUUUUCUGAUGUUAGCGGCGGACGGGUGAGUAACACGUGGAUAACCUACCUAUAAGACUGGGAUAACUUCGGGAAACCGGAGCUAAUACCGGAUAAUAUUUUGAACCGCAUGGUUCAAAAGUGAAAGACGGUCUUGCUGUCACUUAUAGAUGGAUCCGCGCUGCAUUAGCUAGUUGGUAAGGUAACGGCUUACCAAGGCAACGAUGCAUAGCCGACCUGAGAGGGUGAUCGGCCACACUGGAACUGAGACACGGUCCAGACUCCUACGGGAGGCAGCAGUAGGGAAUCUUCCGCAAUGGGCGAAAGCCUGACGGAUCAACGCCGCGUGAGUGAUGAAGGUCUUCGGAUCGUAAAACUCUGUUAUUAGGGAAGAACAUAUGUGUAAGUAACUGUGCACAUCUUGAUGGUACCUAAUCAGAAAGCCACGGCUAACUACGUG